UACAGGGGGUGCAAGCGUUGUUCGGAAUUACUGGGCGUAAAGGGCGCGUAGGCGGUUUAGCAAGUCAGACGUGAAAUCUCAGGGCUCAACUCUGAAAGUGCGUUUUAAACUGCUAGGCUAGAGUGCAUUAGAGAUUGGCGGAAUUCCCAGUGGAGAGGUGAAAUUCGUAGAUAUUGGGAGGAACACCGGUGGCGAAGGCGGCCAAUUGGGAUGCAACUGACGCUGAGGCGCGAGAGCAUGGGUAGCAAACAGG
rnacentral:rRNA from 1 species